rnacentral:rRNA from 1 species
CCUACGGGAGGCAGCAGUGAGGAAUAUUGGUCAAUGGCCGGAAGGCUGAACCAGCCAAGUCGCGUGAGGGAAUAAGGCCCUAUGGGUCGUAAACCUCUUUUGUCAGGGAGCAAAGGCGUCCACGAGUGGACGAAAGGAGAGUACCUGAAGAAAAAGCAUCGGCUAACUACGUGCCAGCAGCCGCGGUAAUAAGUAGGGGGCAAGCGUUAUCCGGAUUGACUGGGUGUAAAGGGAGCGUAGACGGCAGGGCAAGUCUGGAGUGAAAGGCAGGGGCCCAACCCCUGGACUGCUCUGGAAACUGUCCGGCUGGAGUGCAGGAGAGGUAAGUGGAAUUCCGAGUGUAGCGGUGAAAGGCGUAGAUAUUAGGAGGAACACCAGUGGCGAAGGCGGCUUACUGGACUGUAACUGACGUUGAGGCUCGAAAGCGUGGGGAGCAAACAGGAUUAGAUACCCCAGUAGUC